rnacentral:rRNA from 1 species
GCGGGCGAUACGGGCAGACUUGAGUACUGCAGGGGAGACUGGAAUUCCUGGUGUACCGGUGGAAUGCGCAGAUAUCAGGAGGAACACCGGUGGCGAAGGCGGGUCUCUGGGCAGUAACUGACGCUGAGGAGCGAAAGCGUGGGGAGCGAACAGGAUUAGAUACCCUGGUAGUCCACGCCGUAAACGGUGGGUACUAGGUGUGGGUUUCCUUCCUUGGGAUCCGUGCCGUAGCUGACGCAUUAAGUACCCCGCCUGGGGAGUACGGCCGCAAGGCUAAAACUCAAAGAAAUUGACGGGGGCCCGCACAAGCGGCGGAGCAUGUGGAUUAAUUCGAUGCAACGCGAAGAACCUUACCUGGGUUUGACAUGCACAGGACGCCGGCAGAGAUGUCGGUUCCCUUGUGGCCUGUGUGCAGCUGGUGCAUGGCUGUCGUCAGCUCGUGUCGUGAGAUGUUGGGUUAAGUCCCGCAACGAGCGCAACCCUUGUCUCAUGUUGCCAGCGGGUAAUGCCGGGGACUCGUGAGAGACUGCCGGGGUCAACUCGGAGGAAGGUGGGGAUGACGUCAAGUCAUCAUGCCCCUUAUGUCCAGGGCUUCACA